rnacentral:rRNA from 1 species
UACAGAGGUCUCAAGCGUUGUUCGGAUUCAUUGGGCGUAAAGGGUGCGUAGGCGGCGCGAUAAGUCCGCUGUAAAAGUCCAGGGCUCAACCCUGGAAAGCCGGUGGAUACUGUCGGGCUAGAGUCCGGAAGAGGCGAGUGGAAUUCCUGGUGUAGCGGUGGAAUGCGCAGAUAUCAGGAGGAACACCGAUAGCGAAGGCAGCUCGCUGGGACGGUACUGACGCUGAGGCGCGAAAGCGUGGGGAGCGAACAGG